rnacentral:tRNA from 1 species
UGGGGUGUGGCUCAGUGGUAGAGUGCUCACCUAGCACAAGUGAGGCACUGGGUUCAAAUCUCAGCACCACAU